AUUGAACGCUGGCGGCAUGCUUUACACAUGCAAGUCGAGCGGAAACAGGCCGCAAGGUCCUGACGUGUGGCGAAGGCGGGAGUAAUACAUCGACACGUGUCCCGUCGUGGGGGAUAUGUACUCGAAAGAGGAGCGCAUACCGCAUACGAGCUAUGGAUGAGAGCGGGGGGGCGUAAGGGCUCGCGCGAUUGGAGCUGCCGCUGUUAGAUUAGGUAGUUGGUGGGGUAAAGGCUCACCAAGGCAACGAUCUGUAGCUGGUCUGAGAGGAUAAUCAGCCACACUGGAACUGAGACACGGCCCAGACUCCUACGGGAGGCAGCAGUGGGGAAUUUUGGACAAUGGGCGAAAGCCUGAUCCAGCAAUGCCGCGUGAAUGAAGAAGGUCUUCGGAUUGUAAACUUCUUUUAUUCGGGACGAAACGGCGUUUGUUAAUACCCGGGGGUAUUGACGGUACCGUAAGAAUAAGCACCGGCUAACUACGUG
rnacentral:rRNA from 1 species